GAACCUUACCUGGUCUUGACAUCCACAGAACUUUCCAGAGAUGGAUUGGUGCCUUCGGGAACUGUGAGACAGGUGCUGCAUGGCUGUCGUCAGCUCGUGUUGUGAAAUGUUGGGUUAAGUCCCGCAACGAGCGCAACCCUUAUCCUUUGUUGCCAGCGGUCCGGCCGGGAACUCAAAGGAGACUGCCAGUGAUAAACUGGAGGAAGGUGGGGAUGACGUCAAGUCAUCAUGGCCCUUACGACCAGGGCUACACACGUGCUACAAUGGCAUAUACAAAGAGAAGCGACCUCGCGAGAGCAAGCGGACCUCAUAAAGUAUGUCGUAGUCCGGAUUGGAGUCUGCAACUCGACUCCAUGAAGUCGGAAUCGCUAGUAAUCGUAGAUCAGAAUGCUACGGUGAAUACGUUCCCGGGCCUUGUACACACCGCCCGUCACACCAUGGGAGUGGGUUGCAAAAGAAGUAGGUAGCUUAACCUUCGGGAGGGCGCUUACCACUUUGUGAUUCAUGACUGGGGUGAAGUCGUAACAAGGUAACCGUAGGGGAACCUGCGGUUGGAUCACCUCCUUACCUUAAAGAA
rnacentral:rRNA from 1 species